rnacentral:rRNA from 1 species
GACGAACGCUGGCGGCGUGCUUAACACAUGCAAGUCGAACGGAAAGGCCCUGCUUUUGUGGGGUGCUCGAGUGGCGAAAGGGUGUGUAACACGUGAGUAACCUGCCCUUGACUUUGGGAUAACUUCAGGAAACUGGGGCGAAUACCGGAUAGGAGCUCCUGCUGCAUGGUGGGGGUUGGAAAGUUUCGGCGGUUGGGGAUGGACUCGCGGCUUAUCAGCUUGUUGGUGGGGUAGUGGCUUACAGAGGCGUUGACGGGUAGCCGGCCUGAGAGGGUGACCGGCCACAAUGGGACUGAGAUACGGCCCAGACUCCUACGGGAGGCAGCAGUGGGAAAUAGUGCACAAUGGGCGGAAUCCUGAUGCAGCAACUCCGCGUGCGGGAUGACGGCCUUCGGGUUGUAAACCGCUUUCGCCUGUGACGAAGCGUGAGUGACGGUAAUGGGUAAAGAAGCACCGGCUAACUACGUG